GACAGACAAGACAGACAUCCACUGGAGAGCAGGAGCUCUGCACCAUGACUUUCACGGGACAUCGGUCAGGGUAGAAGGCUGCCCACCAUCCAGCCCCCAGGGACUCAGAGGCCACUUGUGUGCCAGCUGGACCAGGAACAGCUGCAAGGAGACCAACUGGGCUUGCUCUACCCACGGCAUGUAGAAGGCACAAGGAGGACCCUCGCAGGACCAGUAUCAGCUGUCUUUCAUGGGUGAAAAUCAUAUCACUGGAGAAAGGGAAACCGAACCAAGAGGCAAGCUGGGCUUGUAAUGCCAAUCUAUGGCUGCUGCUAAGGAGCAAGAGGCCAAUUGCAUACUACAUGCAGCAGAGGAGACUGAGACCAGUUCAUCUGGGAACUGGCAACCUCUGCUGAGCUCCAUCCUCCUUCUAAAACACACUCAGGCUCAUUCAGGAAAUGCCUUGAUCGGUGGAAGUGUCCAGAUGCUCUGCACAUGCAGCAGAGUACUGCAAAGCCAUAGGGCAGCUGCCACAUGGCAGGGUCAGUCAGAGGCCCCAGGUAGGCAGCUGAAAGCAUAAAGAUUGCUUAAGCCCGGCGUAUACCCCAAGACUCUGUGGAGCAACAUAAGGUGAGGAGUGAUACUGGAAAAGGAACUCUAGCAGCCUUACUACUGUGAAGCCAUCAGCAUGUAGCAUUUGCAAGUAGAGAUGACAUGAAUACAGAAAGAAGAAAUGUCUGGGCUAAGAAUGACCCAUUCCCUGUGCUUCUUUGAUGGGAACAUUUUUGCAGUUUGCCUUGGGCUGUUAGUGAAAUGUGACCUCUGACAACAAGUAGUGUGGUGAAUAAGCCAUUGUGGACUGCAUUUGACAUUACACCGGAAUGAGGGAAAAUGACAGUGCUUAUUGUGUCUACUGAGGCUUCACAAAUCUUUUAUGCAAUAAAAGACACAAUCUAUCAAUCUCAAAGCCCUUCUCAGAGAUAGUGCUAGACAGUUAAAUCAGGCAUCAAACACAACAAGGUACUGGAUGCAGUAAAAUGCAUUGUACUUUUGGACUGGGGCAACCAUCAGCUGCAAAUGCAGCAGCAGAUGAGUCAGUCCUGUUUGCUGAGGGAUGGAAACAGAAGAUGAGGGAUUUUGUUGAAAGUGCUAAGCAAUUUCAGAGUUACUGUCAUGGGAGGGAUCAUCUCAUUGAACUCCACAUCCAGACAGUGGGCUCCUAUUUUAAACAGUGAAGUUGUACGCAAUAUUGUCAAUGAACUGUAGGUCAUUAUUUGCUCUGUCUUAAAGUACUUCCCUAAACAAGCUCAAUUUGUUUCAAAAUUAUUUAUUUCCAGUGGCUGUGCAAGGAUCUGCAAGGGACUAGUUCAUCUGUAUACAUCUGUGCUACAGUUGUCUAAAUGUCAGAGAGACGGGUCUUCUCCUAUAUGGUGUGUCUAUACUUCUCACAUGGGGAAAAGGUAGACAAAAAGAUGAUUCAGUGGCAUGAUCGCCCAAAGAAGGGCAGAUUUAGGACAGUGUGUGCAGAGUCAACAGAAGAACACAAAAUGAGCCACUUGACUGAAUCAUGGGAUAUGAACCUGAUCCUGAAUAAACAUCAUACUGUUAGCCAUACUAAUUUUUUAUUCAAUUUCCAAGCAAGAAAGUUGUUGUCCGAGGGACGUUCAAGAAAGAACUGAGAAUAAAACAUUGACAAAGACUGGUUGACAUGACUCUGCUCAGACAACGGAUCACAGAAUUCCUCAGCAGAGCUCGAAACCAGUUCAGCUUUGAAUGGAAAUUUGAACACAGGGUACCUGUAAAGCAAUGGGAAGCUAGAAGUCAGAAGUGGCAAGAUACUGUUAAUCAGUAUAAAACAAGCAGGAAGGCAGCUCUGCCUGACAGUGUGGGAACACUGCAGUGGAGCCCCAGAGAUCAGAUAGCAAAUGAGCACAAAGAUGGAUGAGUCAGAGAACUUCAGAUAUUUCCCUGAAGAGAAAGUCCAGGUUUGUGGUCCAGCUGAGUAAUGCCAGGCAGUGCAGAGAAACACUUAGGAAAUGCUUGCACAGAACUCCCAAGAGCCACACAUUUAGGCUUAUAUGUACAACUGCCUAGAGCAAGAUUCAACAAUCAAAUCAGGACUCAAAACAGGGGCUACAAACAGUCUAGGCUGCAAUAUCACUGGUGAUGUUCACAGGCUUAGAGCAAUGGUGAAAGGCAAACCAAGAAAGUAGAAAAUAACAGGGCUAGGUGGCCAACACACUUGGACUUCUGGGCCAAAGUCAGAGUGAGGAGUAAUGAGUACAGCCCUUUAGUAUAGUCUGUUGAGGCUUAGAAAGGUGAAACAUCACCAACAGGAUGUUGCUCAACAGCCCCAAAAUGUGCAGCAGAGGCAUACUCUUACUGCCUUGAACUACAAGUUUAAAGCAAUACCAGCUCAAGUUUUUAAGUGCCAGUUUGAUCCUUUACAUGUCAGCCAACAAGCAAGGACCAUGUCCACCCCUGAGCCAGCUGAGGUUCCUGGCCAAAGCACAGGGAAGGCAGGCUGUGCUGCUCAAAAAGGAUUUAUGCUCCUGCAAACACAGCAUAGCUCUAUACAUCCCUUUUCUGUUACACAUUUAUAUGUCUUGGCUGAAACACAAGAGUUUCUUCUGUAAAGAUGUGGGGUUUUGGUCAGAAUUCACAUAUUUAGUUGAAAAAAUGCUGAAAGUGCUGAUCCUGAUAUUCAGUUCUCUCCAUUUCUUGUUGAUGACAGUCACAGGUCAGCAUCAGUUCAAAGGACAACCAAAUCCUGAGAACUAUUCACACCAAUGGAAGAUGAGAGGCCUUCUCCUUUUCUAUCCAUUUCUACCUGCCUGUCCUCCUCCUGACCACAUCACUCCAUCCCUCUGUCAUGCAGGUUUAGGUCCAGUGAGCACCACCACCAGCACGUGGCGAGUGAUGGGAUCACAUGUCCAAGAAUGGGACCUGUGAGUAAGAAAAGUGCAAAUCUCUUCUGGUCAAAGUGAGUUACAUCAGCUCACAGCCUCUCCUGAGGCUAUACGAACCUCUAACACAGACUGGUUGGCCAAAGCCCCAAGUAGCAAAGCACAUAAACCUAAGCAGAGAAAUCAUCCUUCUUCCCUUCAAAGUUCCUAUGCUUUAUGUUCAGCAUGUGUACUCAGCUCUGCUGGAUAAAGAAGUAAAUUAGCAAAGCAUGGGUUUUGGAUUACUAGUCUCAGUAGUAGCAGAGGACUCAGUGCCGCAAGGGAUCAUUCAGACCUCUUUUCUUCUGAGAUGUUUCCAAUUCAGGCUUCGAUGUGUAAAGUCCUUUUGUAGUGAGGUCCUUCUGUGGGUGUGAGUUAUAUUGUGGUCUGUAAAGAGCUUUGGGUUCUUUUUAAGACACUGCGAGACAAUCUGUGAAUUCCUUUACUUGCAUUUGUCUGCAGUUACUCAUGUGCAUAAGACCCACUAUAGCUGAAGGCUUGCCAAUACUAAUGUGGGAUUUACAGUCCCCAGCCCUUUAUGAAGGCCUUCUGGAGGCUGCAAAAUGUUAAGCAUUCUCAGCAGUUCUGGAGAAAAAUGGCAUUUUAUAGGAUUACCAAAACCAGGUGUUCUUCACUUCGAAAUCCCUGUCCCUUUUCUGCAGAUUGAUCUGUACUCAAGGGAAGCAGCAAGACCGUCCCACACCACAGUUUUUGAGAUGAACACUUCUAAGGUGAAAAUCAGCAGUGCACACAGUGCUAACUUUAGCCUAGGAGCUCUGUUGGAUUAAGGGAUGGAAACAAAGAACUCCUUGGAAAUGCCACGGGUGACAAUUGUCUGUAGUGGCUUCAUUCAUCUGGGGUGGUACUGCACGUGGGAAGUGAGUGUUGGCUUACAAUGCCACAGCUGCUCUCCUGACCCACACGCUGGUCAUGUGUGGGUCCUCUUCAAGCACAACAAAGAAAAAGGCUGCUGCAUCAGUUGUCUUUUGCUCCGUUGAAAAUGGCUACAAAGCAUUAAAGCCUGGCUGGGUGAGAAGGCUCACUGAAGCCAGUGUGAGGGUGUCAAGAGACACAACUGUUUAAAGGAACUGGUUGGGCAGAGGAAGGGUAUUUGCAGAUUGUUCUCUAUCCGACAGGGCAACAUUAAAAGUGUUCCACAAUCAAAA